AAAAAAAAAAAGAAAAAGGGACAGCAGCUCCAUGCUUCAAUCCUCGUUUUCUACUUCUAGACCAGGAGACCAGGUUUCAAUUCUCGCUGCCUGAAGUGGAAGCGCGUCUCCAUUCCACUGUGGGACAUAUCACCGUACUAUAAACAACCAAAAGCUCUAUAAUUGCCAGACGCCUGUUAUCGUCGUUUCGCCGGCCGAUCGCUGUUUCCGAACUACUUUCAUUUUUAGUGAUGGACAUUGAAAGCAGUGCAGAGUUGAAUGAACAAUCUCAAAUGCUUCCACCUCCACCCAGAACUUUUGUAGAUCAUGAAGAGCUUAUAGAACAUGUUGGAGACCUUGCUGUAUCUCAGGGAUAUGUGGUAACUAUUAAGCAAUCUAAGAGAGACAGAGUAGUAAUCCUUGGAUGUGACAAAGGAGGUGUUUAUGGUAAUAGGCGGAAGGCUAUUGAUCAAUCUGCUGUGGAACACUCCUGGAAAAGAAAAACUGGUUCUCAGCUUACCAACUGUGCUUUUGAAGUUGUGGGUAAGAAGGAUGAUGGAUUGUGGGUACUUCCUGUAAAAAAUGGAACUCACAAUCAUGAGCCUCUAAAGGACAUUUCAGAACAUCCUUCUGUCCGUCGCUUCUCAGAGACUGAAGUUCAGUUAAUUAAAGAGAUGACUUUCUGGACUAAAACCUCGCCAAAUCCCGAAGAGAUUGAGACAAAGCAACCCGGAUCUUCUGUCAAUUCCAAAGCAUGUGUACAAUAUUAAAGCUAAACUCCGACAAGGAAAUAUGACAGGUCUUUGAGGCCUGAGAAAUCUGCUGUUAGGAAUAAUUAUCUCACGGUUACAGAGCCAUCCUGGAGGCAGCAGAACAUACCAUGGAUCAACAAAAAUUCAUCUCAAAUGCUGGAGGUUCGAAGCAAACUGAGAAAUAUUUCUCUCUCUCUCUCUCUCUCUCUGACACGCUCCUCGCUAGAGUUUUUUAUAGUUAUGCUGGAUUUUAACCUAUUGACUAAUCUGUCAGAGGGUUCCCAAUCUCACUGGAGGUAAAUUUGUUGAUUCAGUCUUUUGUGUUUAUCGAUGUUAUAAAUCCUGUAAGUUUAGAUAAAGCCCUCUUAAGUUCAUUUCAUUUUAUUUCCUUAAUGUUAUCAUUUCAAUAAUUAUUUAGUCAUUCUUUCCAAUUAUUUGCUGAUAUGUGACAAGCAACCCAACUAGCUGUUUCUCAAGUUCCUUUGACUACAAAUGAGGAAUUCAGAGCUGCAGUAUUUGCUGCAAAGCAGGCAUUUCCAUCAUGAAGAAGCACACCAAAUACCACUCAUCAACGAAUCAUGUUCAAGUUUCAAGAGUUUAUCUGGAGAGACAUUGUAAUUUUUUGGAUUUUACACACUUUAGCUUGCAAUAUCUGGUUGAUUUUACAAUAAUUUCUUUCCCAGGAUAUGCUGUCUGCGACCAUUACUACUGGCAUGGGAAGGCUCUAAAAGAUGCAUAUGCUGAUGUGUCACUAGGACUAGGUGGUGGUACACGCUUGUGGAUUGGCAACCCUGCAAAUUGGAGAGUUUGUUUCCAACUUGUCUAAUGGAACUGACACCUAUAGCAUUAGAGAGCCACUUGGUGUUUGUGCUGGAAUUUGCCCAUUUGAGUUUCCUGCUAUGAUCCCACUAUGAUGUUUCCUGUGGCUGUCACAUGUGGCAAUACUUUUAUUCUAAAGACAUCAGAGAAAGAUCCAGGCUGGUGCAUAUAUUUAUGCAAGGGCAUCAGCUAAAGGAAAACGUAUUCAGUCCAAUAUUGGAGCAAAAUAUCAUGCAGUUGUCAUGCCUGAUGCAAGUGUGGAUGCUACUUUAAAUGCUCUAGUUGCUGCUGGCUUCGGUGGUGCAGGACAAAAGUGCAUGGCCCUGAGCACAUUUGUCUUUGUUGGAGGCCUAAGUCCAUGGUGUCUUGUUUGUAUUUAAUUCCUUAGCAUUUUGUUCUGGUUGUUAUCGAGUCAAAUUCUAUGAAGGUUUGAAGUUGCAAGUCUAUGCAGUAAUUUCAACAUGGGUUAUUUGCACCUUGAAUAAGUAUAUCCAAAUCCUGUCAUCCAGUUGACAUGCUUCUUAUUGUUU